rnacentral:rRNA from 1 species
UGAGGAAUAUUGGUCAAUGGGCGAGAGCCUGAACCAGCCAAGUAGCGUGAAGGAUGACUGCCCUAUGGGUUGUAAACUUCUUUUAAUGGGGAAUAAAAUGAGAUACGUGUAUCUUUUUGCAUGUACCCAUCGAAUAAGGACCGGCUUAACUCCGUGCCAGCAGCCGCGGUAAUACGGAGGGUCCGAGCGUUAUCCGGAUUUAUUGGGUUUAAAGGGUGCGUAGGCGGGAUACUAAGUCAGCUGUGAAAGUUUAAUGCUCAACAUUGAAAUUGCAGUUGAAACUGGUAUUCUUGAGUGUAGUGGAAGUAGGUGGAAUUCGUGGUGUAGCGGUGAAAUGCUUAGAUAUCACGAAGAACUCCGAUUGCGAAGGCAGCUUACUAUCCUACAACUGACGCUGAGGCACGAAAGUGUGGGUAUCCAACAGGAUUAGAUACCCUGGUAGUCCACACGGUAAACGAUGAAUACUCGCUGUUUGCGAUACACAGUAAGCGGCAAAGCGAAAGCAUUAAGUAUUCCACCUGGGGAGUACGCCGGCAACG